UGGGGAAUAUUGCACAAUGGAGGGAACUCUGAUGCAGCGACGCCGCGUGAGUGAUGAAGGAAUUCGUUUCGUAAAACUCUGUUCUAUGGGAAGAAAAGGACUGUACCAUAGGAGAAAGCUCCGGCUAAAUACGUGCCAGCAGCCGCGGUAAUACGUAUGGAGCGAGCGUUGUCCGGAAUUAUUGGGCGUAAAGGGUGCGCAGGCGGCUUUACAAGUUGGAUGUGAAAUAUUGUGGCUCAACCACAAACGUGCAUCCAAAACUGCAAAGCUUGAGUUAAGGAGAGGUAAGGGGAAUUCCUGGUGUAGCGGUGGAAUGCGUAGAUAUCAGGGGGAAUACCGGUGGCGAAGGCGACUUACGGGACUUAAACUGACGCUCAGGCACGAAAGCGUGGGGAGCAAACAGG
rnacentral:rRNA from 1 species